GCACCUAUAGUUUAAGCGGUAAAAUAUUAGUCCACGAUACUAAUGACAUAAGUUCGACUCUUAUUAGGUGUU
rfam:Sugiyamaella lignohabitans strain CBS 10342 mitochondrion genome.